GGAGAUCCCUAUUCCCCUCACAAAAGCUACAAUUCUUACAAGUGGAUUAAUAAUCCCAUUCAAUGGGAACUCUGUGAAUUGUAGCUCUGUGAGGGAAAUAGGGGUCUC